rnacentral:rRNA from 1 species
CCCCAGUUCGGAUUGCAGGCUGCAACCCGCCUGCAUGAAGCCGGAAUCGCUAGUAAUCGCGGAUCAGAAUGCCGCGGUGAAUACGUUCCCGGGUCUUGUACACACCGCCCGUCACACCAUGGGAGUCGGGAAUGCCCGAAGUCAGUGGCCCAACCGGAAGGGGGGAGCUGCCGAAGGCAGGCCCGGUGACUGGGGUGAAGUCGUAACAAGGUACC